AACCAAGAUCAUCCAACCCAACUCAUUCCAAUUCAACCAAACUCUUCCCAACUCAACUCAAACCAUCCCAACCCAUCCCAACUCAUCCCAGUCCAACUCAUCCCAGUCCAACUCAUCCCAAUCCAACUCAUCCAACCCAACUCAUCCCAACCCAACCCAUCCGACCCAAUCCAACACAUCCAAACCAACACCACUCUAUCCCAACUCAUCCCAACUCAACCAAACUCAUCCAACACAACUCAUCCCAACCCAGCUCAUCCAACCAAACUCAUCCCAACCCAACUCAUUCCAACCCAACUCAUCCCAACCCAUCCGAUCCAUUCCAACACAUCCAAACCAACACCACUCGAUCCCAACUCAUCCCAACUCAACCAAACUCAUCCAACACAACUCAAAGCCAACUCAACUCAUCCAACCCAACCAAACUCAGCCCAAACCAUCCCAAUCUGACCAAACUCAUUCCAACUCAACCCAACUCAUCCAAACCAACUGAACUCAGCCCAAACCAUCCCAGUCUGACCGAACUCAUUCCAACUCAUCCAAUCCAUCACAUCCCAACCCAAUCCAUCACAUCCCAACCCAAUCCAUCACAUCCCAACUCAAUCCAUCACAUCCCAACCCAAUCCAUCACAUCCCAACUCAAUCUAAGCCAUCCAACACAACUCGUCCAACCCAAUGUAAUUCAUGCCAACCCAUCCAUCUCACCCCAUCCUGCUCUUCACACCAUAUCCAUCAUCCAUCACUUCCAUCCAUCCAUCAUCCAUCCAUCCAUCAUCCAUCACUUCCAUCCAUCCAUCAUCCAUCCAUCAUCCAUCCAUCAUCCAUCCAUCAUCCAUCCAUCCAUCAUCCAUCAUCCAUCCAUCCAUCAUCCAUCCAUCAUCCAUCCAUCAUCCAUCCAUCAUCCAUCAUCCAUCCAUCAUCCAUCAUCCAUCCAUCAUCCAUCCAUCAUCCAUCCAUCAUCCAUCCAUCAUCCAUCCAUCCAUCCAUCAUCCAUCAUCCAUCCAUCAUCCAUCCAUCCAUCCAUCCUGGUCCCCACCGUCCCUCCCCGUUGCCCGUACCCGGUGCGGGCGAAGUUGCCCCAGUAUCUCAUGAUGCGCCGGCUCAGCGCCUCCUCCUCGGCCGUGUAGUUGAGGCCGGGGUUCAGGGGCUGCCCGAACACGAACUCGAUCUCAUAUCCGUGGGGGACGCCCAUCCAUGGCGGCCACAGCAGGUUGGAGGCUCGGUGGUCGAACAGGUAAGCGAAGACGGUGCCGCCGCGCUCGGCCCAGCGCUGGGCGAAGUGCAUCAGCGGGCACACCACGUUGUGGUCGCCCACGAUGUCGUCCAGCGCCUCGCGGUUCUUCACCGGGUUGUCCUGGUCCAGCCAAUCCGUGUACUGCAGCACCACGGCCUCGGCCGCCAGCUCGUUGGCCUGCGGCACCCCCAGCCUCACCCCGCCCAGGAACUCCUCGCGGCUGAUCAGGCUCUCGUUGUCCUUGCCGA
rnacentral:lncRNA from 1 species